rfam:Macaca mulatta chromosome 1, whole genome shotgun sequence.
CCGCCCAGCAGGCGACGUUGCGGGCGCUGGGCGCCAGGAGAGGUUCCCGGAGCCGACCUUCCGGCUGGCCGCUCUGUGACUGCUUCCCGGCUCUGCCCUCUUGGCUGAAGUCCCCGCUGCCGGGCGCGGGCCUCAGGUAACGGUGGU